CUACGGGCCGCUGCAGUGGGAAUAUUGGACAAUGGACGAAAGUCUGAUCCAGCCAUGCCGCGUGAGUGAAGAAGGCCUUAGGGUUGUAAAACUCUUUCAAUAGUGAGGAUAAUGACGGUAACUAUAGAAGAAGCACCGGCUAACUCCGUGCCAGCAGCCGCGGUAAUACGGAGGGUGCUAGCGUUAUUCGGAAUUACUGGGCGUAAAGCGCGCGUAGGCGGUUAGUAAAGUUGGGAGUGAAAGCCCGGGGCUUAACCUCGGAAUUGCUCUCAAAACUCACUAACUAGAAUUCGGUAGAGGUUAGUGGACUUCCUAGUGUAGAGGUGAAAUUCGUAGAUAUUAGGAGGAACACCAGUGGCGAAGGCGACUGACUGGGCCGAUAUUGACGCUAAGGCGCGAAAGCGUGGGGAGCAAACAGGAUUAGAUACCCCCGUAGUC
rnacentral:rRNA from 1 species